CACAAGUUUUUAGAAUCACUCUCUCCUGUAACUGCCACGCUCUUACCUUGUGUUGUUCAAAACACACACACACACACACGUAAUGGCUUUGCAGCGUGCUGUACCACUUUCAAUACCUUAAAAACGACAUUGGCGGACCUGCUUCUACUGUCCCGAUUGGCCGAUUGUUUCUACGUAAGUUCAACUUCCAAGUCUCAACGUUCCGUCCGUGUCAAUUGUUCCUAUUCUUUAACAUCUUCUAAAUAGUUUAGUCUGUACCCGAACCAAUACGUGACUUAGUAACACCCCCUAGACUCCAUUAGUCUGGUACGUGGGUUUGAAUUUAAAAUGAACGAAAAUUUACAAAUCCUCCGUCUACUACAAACUAUACGAUCUGAUUUCAUGCGUGGAAAAUUCUCAUAUAGUGACUAUGAGGUCAGUGGUUAUUUAAGCUUUCACGCAUGACGGAUCUAAUAACCUCGAGUAAAAUCGAGAUUCUCAAGAAAAAAUAGAGAAAGUGUAAGACCAUUUGUACACCCACUUAUUGUCAAUCUUUAACAAGAUAUACAUGUGCCCUUAAGAUUAUCUUGAGUACGAACUUUACUAUUUUUCAAGAUAUUAUAAACAAUCGGCUCGCGACCUUUUCGAGUGAGGAGUGUGGUCUAGUGGUAGCGGCUGCAUAUAUGAAAAAGCAUUGUCUCAGGUGUACAAAUGAGUACAAGAGUCAAAAAACAACAAAGCCCCUUCCAACAAUCCUCGGGUAGAGAAGACGUCGGGACCUCUUUCUCUCGAUCUAUAUCACCAUGAACGAUCGCAAAAUUACCUGUGGAGGAAAACCGGAAAAAAUUAAAGAGAUUAUUAAUCGAUUCUCUGAAGUCACUCACUCUAAAAAAACCGGGGAGGGAAAAAGACACAGAAAACCUCAAAACGAAACACCACUUUCCUCCUAUCUCUAUGAGUUGUCCCCGGCGGGAGAAGGAGCAGGCUUGUUCUAGGGGUUCUCGGACAUGGGUGAACUCUUCUCGAGCUACUCGACGUGCCGGAGUGUGUACUCCUCGUCCUCCGGGUCCCUCCUCCUCAGUAAACAAAUGUCAUCCUUCUAACCGAAUACUGGACCACGUAUGGACGUACCAUAAAAGUCAUCUCUACUAAGUUUUAGUUUAGUCGACAAACAAUUGCACCACAACGGACGACGCCAAAAUGAUAUAACACUUAAAGACUAACACACGUUUCCCCUGUGUACAAGUUGAUUAAUCUAGUCAAACAAUUGAUCUUGCACAAUAACCCUUAUUCGUGUCUAGUUAACAGUCGUGUUCUUUACACCUUACGUAAUCUUCAGUAACGACAAUAACAAUAUUACAAAUUAGAAUUUUUUCAUAUGGAUGAGAGAGUGUACCAAUGACUAUGCGUUAAAAACAAACGGAGAAGAGCACGACGUCCUACCUUGACCUUGGUUUGAACCAUCAACUUUAUUAAGAGACAGAAUUAAGUUCCUCCUGGGAUAUAGAUUUCCAUUGUCUCGUCAAAUAUAGUAUUAAGGUAACGAACUAAAGAUCUUCUUACUUUUUCCCUCUUUACCAACAAAGUAAACCACACGCCUAGACCAAAUUUCACACGCACGAAUAUAGACCUUCUAGAACCAACGUUUUCAUAUAGUCCUUCUAGAACCAACGUUUUCACUAGUCUAUAUGAGGAGACAUGGUUUUAUAUUCUGCAAAAAAAGUCAAGUUAACUUAACUUUUUUACAAAACAUAAAAGCAUGCCUCCCUCAUUAUCAGUUGUGUUGGUCCAACCAAGACAUUAAUUUACGGAUACUAGAACAUUAAGACUUAGUUUAUCAAACUAAUGUGUUUCUUACUAUAAAUGAAACACAUUCUAGAACAUUAAGACUUGGUUCAAUUAAGACUUAGUUUAUAAAAAAGAUGAUAAGAUAUACAUUAUUUAUCUCGUGUUUCUUACUAUAAAAGAAACAGUCGUAUAUAUCCAGAAUUCAUCGUUUAGACCCGUAAUAUGUAUCAAAACAAAACGAAACCUAAAGUUAAUUGAACCUUAGCUCCCUCUUCAAUACGAGAGACAUUAAAAUCGGAUUGUCCAUUAAGAAUACGCAAGCUUAUCCCAUACCAUAAAAAAAAAUAAAUUAAUCAAACCGCAAAGAACAUCCGCUUUCAAGAAGGUGCCCACAAAUCUUAACCUUUACCAAUUGAAUGCAACUAUACCAUGGUAUUGAUAAGGUGAACGUUCUUAUACAUUCCCAUAUACCGUUCCGUUAAGAACAAACUGCUCGUAUUACUUUUUGUUUCGCCGUUUUCUUCUAUUUACUACUUUCUUCUCUAUUAAAAAC
rnacentral:rRNA from 1 species